rnacentral:rRNA from 1 species
UACGUAGGGGGCAAGCGUUGUCCGGAAUCACUGGGCGUAAAGCGCACGUAGGCGGAUUGUUAAGUCGGGGGUGAAAUCCUGGAGCUCAACUCCAGAACUGCCUUCGAUACUGGCGAUCUUGAGUCCGGGAGAGGUGAGUGGAACUCCGAGUGUAGAGGUGAAAUUCGUAGAUAUUCGGAAGAACACCAGUGGCGAAGGCGGCUCACUGGCCCGGUACUGACGCUGAGGUGCGAAAGCGUGGGGAGCAAACAGG